CCUUAUAUCCAGGGCUACACACGUGCUACAAUGGCCGGUACAAAGGGUCGCAAUACCGCGAGGUGGAGCUAAUCCCAAAAAGCCGGUCUCAGUUCGGAUUGGAGUCUGCAACUCGACUCCAUGAAGUCGGAAUCGCUAGUAAUCGCGUAUCAGCGUGACGCGGUGAAUACGUUCCCGGGCCUU
rnacentral:rRNA from 1 species